rnacentral:rRNA from 1 species
UGCGCAGGCGGAUUAAUAAGUCGGGGGUUAAAUCCAUGUGCUUAACACAUGCACGGCUUCCGAUACUGUUGACCUAGAGUCUCGAAGAGGAAGGUGGAAUUUCCGGUGUAACGGUGGAAUGUGUAGAUAUCGGAAAGAACACCAGUGGCGAAGGCAGCCUUCUGGUCGAGUACUGACGCUCAUGCACGAAAGCGUGGGGAGCAAACA